rnacentral:snRNA from 1 species
GGAUGUAAGGUUGAUCUGGCUGUGACAUCUGCCACUCUAUUGAUCAGCAGGGUUGAAUCAGCUGAUCUGGUUGGCUAGACAGGUGCCCCCUCUUUCCCUCACAGCUCUGCGUGCAUCUCUAUUGAAGCAGUGCACUGAGUUGAAGAGGAAGACCUUCCCCAAUAGAAGAGGACCAUUUUCCAGCAUAGCCAUGCUUUCAUGACAGAAUUUCCAAACAAGUUCUCAGGAGAAAGUGGAAGAAUCAAGCUUCCAAAACUCCAGACACAUCCAAAUGAGCUGCUGCAUGUGGCAGUCUGCCUUUAUUA